AUUCCCUAGUACGGCGAGUGAGCGGGAAGAGCUCAAAUUUGAAAUCUGGUGGCCUCAGGUCAUCCGAGUUGUAAUCUAUAGAAGUGUUUUCCGUGCUGGCUCAUGUACAAGUCCCUUGGAACAGGGCGUCAUAGAGGGUGAGAAUCCCGUCCUUGACAUGAACUACCAGUGCUCUGUGAUACAUUUUCAACGAGUCGAGUUGUUUGGGAAUGCAGCUCAAAAUGGGUGGUAAAUUCCAUCUAAAGCUAAAUAUUGGCGAGAGACCGAUAGCGAACAAGUACCGUGAGGGAAAGAUGAAAAGCACUUUGGAAAGAGAGUUAAACAGUAUGUGAAAUUGUUGAAAGGGAAACGAUUGAAGUCAGUCGUGCUCUUUGGAUUCAGCCGGUUCUGCCGGUGUACUUCCUUUGAGUGGGGUCAACAUCAGUUUUGAUCGCUGGAUAAAGGCUGGAGGAACGUAGUACCCUCGGGUAAACUUAUAGCCUCCUGUCACAUACAGUGGUUGGGACUGAGGAACGCAGCACGCCUUUAUGGCCGGGAUUCGUCCACGUACGUGCUUAGGAUGUUGACAUAAUGGCUUUAAACGACCCGUCUUGAACCAAGGGACCA
rnacentral:rRNA from 1 species